rnacentral:lncRNA from 1 species
UUUUUCUUUUGUUUUUCUGAGGUUUCUGCUUGAGUUUUCUUUUUCCGUGGCUUUGUGGUCUGGAAACUGAAGAAGAUGCCCUCUUCAUUGUUUCCAGACUAGCUUGUCAUUCCCAAAUCCUUCCCUAGACCCUGUCAUUUUCAUCCUAUCCCAAAUCCCAAUAUUCUUUUCCUUGGGAAUAUUCCUUUUCUAUUAAAGGAAUAACCCAAUUUGCCCUAGGUUGUGAAGCAACCUAUAUUUCUAUCACUCCUAAAAUUCCCAAAUAAUUCUCAUAAAUUGUUUGGGUCAUAUCUUCCUCAAAUACGGCAAAAUAUCUAAUUUGCCAUGUUCCUCAUCAUGCUCAAUUAAUUCAUUUCCUAUUCUGUCCUGAUGGCAGAAUGUGUAGCAAGUGCCAUUUAUCUUUGCCCAAUUGACCUCAAACUUGUUGGACACCUUUUCAUGUCCAUAUAAUUGCCUCAUGCCAAAAUUCAACUUAAUUUUCCUAGUAAAUAUUCCUGAGCAAUUUUUCAAAGUUCCUGUCUGAGGGAAUUGGUUAUGAAGGAAGUACUAGCUAGGUUAAUCCUAUUGAGUUGAAAUUUUGCAUGGCCCUCCAUAUCACUAAAUCAUCACCCUCCUCAAGAUCUGAGCUCAUGGAAUGCAUCCAUGUGAGCUGAGCAUCAAUUCUUUGUUUCUGUCCAAAUUUUCAGUUAGUGAAGCAAGUACAUUUUAUAUUGCUCCAUUAUUGCUGAAAAUUUUCCAGGGCCUUCUCCUACCUAUAUAACCUAUCUCUACAAAAAUUUGGGCAUAUUUCAUAUAGCCAUAUUCUAUAUGGGUGCUUCUUCUUGUUCUUGUUUCUGGACCAAGUUAUGUGGUUGUUAAGCAACUAUAUUAAAUACUGGUCCAAAUCAUCUCAUAAUUAAUAGGACGGUAGUCCUUCCUAACCUAAACUGCCCUGACAUCCUAUUUGGCUCUAAUCUCACCUCAGUUGAGCACUGUUUCACGGCCAAGUUUACUGCAGUGAACUUCAGACGACGAUUACCAUUUAACCACAACGUCUUUAACCAAGUUACCACUGCAGUUGAAACCGCUCCUGGAAGGACUAACCCCUAGACAUCGGUUGGCAUGGCUUGUGUCACUAUGUGCACCAGUGCACGCGGUGACCACCGUUUUGGCACGCACUGGCCGCGCCCAGAACGUCUUCUUGCUCGGGCCCCUUCUCUGCUCGGCAUCUCAGCGAGCACGGGCCUGUCUACCGUGUUCCCCGCGUCGUCGCCGUCCUCCUGGAGCCAUUUCCCCCUCCGUCCGCUUCUCCGUCGGUGCUCGUCGCCGCGCGCCCCCGAGCGAGCUGUAGCCGACAAGGCUUUAAUGGUGUUCGGCCGCUUCUCCUCUGUGCCCCUCGGCCCCUCCUGCCCUAUGCGCCUCUGUAGCUCGUCCGCACCUCCCUCGUCGUGAUCCCGCGCCCUCCCGUGAUCGCUGCCGUCUCCAGAGCAUGGCCGAACGCGAGUGGCGGCACCCAAGCCACGGCCACGCGUCCACGGCCUCCCCUCCUCGCCCCGCCUAUAUAUAGCCUACCCCGAGGCUGUUCGGCCUCACCACCAGCCUCACACCACCUCCAGCAACCUCCCUGGCCUCUCCCUCGAGCUCCAGAGCCCCUCCGCACCUCUCUCUGUCGCCAUGGCCGCCGCGAAGCUCGGCUUAAAUCCAAGCCAUCCGAGCCCUCCCCUCCCUCCUGACCUCACCAUAGCUCCACCUAGACCCCGGCGGUCCUCCCCGUGUCCUCGCCCCACCGCCGGAGCCACCUUGGCCACAUGCCCCAAGAUCAACCGCUGCCUCUGCCUCCUUCUUCCACCAACCGUCACCGCCUCCCCACUCCUCCCCGGGGCUUGUUUUCCCCCUGGAUGGAUGCGGUGGGCCGCGCCGCGCUCGCCGGUGGCCUCCCCUUGGCCGGAGCCGCGAGGCCAGCGCUGGCGCCCCUCCCUCUGUUCUGCGCCCGCAUCGGGGGGGAGAAGAGGAGGAGCGGGAGGAGGGAGUUGACCGAGCGCGUGGACCCCGCGGCCCCACCACUCAGUGACCUGGGGGGUUGACCCCGCUGACGCUGACGUGGCAAGUGGAGACGUAUUCGGGCGUGUGCGUUUUCAUCUCGAGAAAGCGUAUCGCGUGAAGUGCGCUUCCUAUUUGGGUAAGUGUAUCGUUUGUUCUUCGGGCGCAAAUGCGCUUUCCUCUCUAGAAAGCGUAUUUUCCGAAAUCUGCUUCUGCCUCAUCCACUCAGGGGCUUGUUUGUGAAGAUAUUUUUGCAGAUUAGUCCCUGAACUUCCUCACCUCACAACUUUUUACUCGUAACUCCAAAUGAGGUGAAUCCAAAGCCCACGUCUUUGUUUCGUCGAGCUUGUUCUGUUGGUUUCGUUUUCACUAUGGUUAGACACUGUGAAAAUGACCUUUUUGCCCUUGCCCCUAAUCAGCCCCCUUUGAGAGAGAACUUUUCCGGCGAUUUGUUCCACGAUCGUUCCGCACCUCUUCCCGGUGCCUUCUUCACCCCCAGGCAAGCCACAAUACCCACUUGCAUGAUAGCCAUGCAGUAGCCAUGGUUUUCAACCUGAAUAUUUGUUAAAUGAUUGCUUGUUUAAAAUAUGGUUAUCGUUGUUUCGGUAAUGCUUCUGGGUUAGUGCUUACUUGCUUGCUAUGUUGUUAUGCACCUGGUUAUCAUGCCCUGCUGUUGCUAGUAUUCCUUUCAUAUGCUUAUGCUUGCUAGUAGUACAUCUUGAUGUUCGUGAUGGUUUUCGGUGCAUGACUGUCGUCUGUCCUGAGUACCGUUGUUAUGCAUGUUCCAUUUCAUCCAGCUGGUUAAAUGCUUGCAUGAUGUCAUUGUUGAUAUGUUCUUGCAUGAUAUUUACUGAGUAAUGCUGUUGGUCUUGCUAUGUCUCGGAGAAGUAUGUAUUUGUGAUGUUCAUGCUAGUCAGUAUGCCAUGCUCAGUUGGAUAUGAUUCAUUGUUGAUAUGGUGGAUAGUUAUGUUGCACCCCGUGCUUAUGUUGAUAUCAUGCUCAUGCAUUGUAAUUGCAUCAUGUUAUUUCAUCAUGACUCAGCAUAUUGCAUUCAAGUUUAACCGGAUUAAAUUGAACUUGAACAACUGUUGGCUGAGUCAUGGUGCCACCAUAUCGAUCUGACCAGUGCAACCACGCUUACCUUUAUGGGAAGGUCCUUACUGGGUCUAUUGUCAUGCCUCUCGCCGGUGCCUCCAAUGAGGGAAGGUUAUGGGCGUGCGGUACCCUGGCCCGGUAAGCAGACAUAACCUUGUGUGCCUGUUGUUGUUGUUGUACCCGGGUUGUCCCUGUUUGGGACCGUUUAUGUUUUGGCCACGACGGUGGCCGUUGGUGCCUUUGGUAGGCACGGGGCCACCCAGGACUUAGCCCAAAGGGGAGUUGGUCGGAGUGGCCGGGAGAGUGUCAUGGCAGUAGGACGGUUCUGUCGGAACGCCGUUGGUCCACCCGAAUGGGAGUGCGAGGCCAUGGGUUCCGUGGUGUGGGUACAGUGUACUAACCUCUGCAGAGUGUAUAUUAAAUCUAUCGAUAGCCGCGCUCGCAGAUAAGGGCCCAGUUCGUGUCGGUCACACUGUGGGUCAAUAGUAUUAAUAAUAAUGUGCUUAAUAACAACCCUGGUUCGAUGAUGAGAUAAGUUGGUUGUGAUCGCCGGAAAUAUCACCGUUUGAGACCAAGUGUUGGUCAUGGUUGUGAUCACCGGAAAGAUCACCGUUUGGUUGCGAGGUAGCCCGUUGAACCCAGAGUGGUUCCGUUUGUGAUCUGUGAAUGAUCACCGUGGUAUCGAGGAUACCGAGUUGUUUUAUAUUCGUGAUGUUGUGCGAGAAUCGUGGGUAAAAAUCAAGCUCCUUGUGGUCAUUUAAUGAUUACUACGGUAUUGUUUAUACCAAGCUUGAUUUGAUCCUGAUAUGAUCGUGUGAUGUCCGAGGUUGGUAAGUGAUGCAUGUGAUGGUUACGAAGUAACCCGAGCAGAAUAAAUAAUGCAUAUAGUGUCAUCAUGUUGCAUGCUAGUAUCGUUAGAUUUAUAUGCUCAUGCCAUGCUCAUAUUGUUCUAGGUGUAUCGUGUUCAUAUUGUUGAUGCCAUGUUAUCCUGAUGACCUCAUGAAUAUUUCCUGUUUAACCUGUAAUUGCCAUGCUGUUGUUUGUCUUGAAUGCUUCUGGUUAUUGUGAGCUUGCAAGUACAUUCAAUGUACUGACCUGGCGUGCGUGCCAGCUUGCAGGUCGUGCCUGGAUUGCUUGCUUGUUUGGUGUUGUUCCUGUGUUCGCGAGCUAGGAUAAACGUUCCAGCCAAAGUCCCUGCGGAUUGGAGUCCAUCAUCGCCGUUCGUUGUUCCGCUGCCAGUAGUUGUUCCGCUGCUUCGAGUUGCUAUGCUGCUUGUAUAGAGAAAGCGUGGUUGGCGUAGUGUCGUCGUGCCGAUGUUAUUCAUUGUAAUAUCGGAACCCUUGUAUUCAUAUUCGUGUUGUCAUAGAGAGCUGGUUUGUUCUAUACUAAGCAGUGUCGUAUUCCAGAAGACUUCUCCUCGAUCUCUGAGCUGGAAUAUGGGGCGUUCCGGUUUUCUCUGAGCCGGGGUGCCACAACGCUUGGUAUCAGAGCAGGUCUGGCUAUAGGAUGCCCUAGCCCACGCGAACAUUAGAAAGCGGUAGUAUAGACCCCAGUUGGUUUGUUGCACUUGAUUGUUGCAUUUGUUUGUCGCAUAGCAUGCACAUAGAUUAUUAUUUUGUCACUAACGGUUAAUCUUGUGAGUGUUGGUGGCAUCGUUUUUGGUCCACCGCCUGUACCCUCCUUCUUAGCAUUUCUGCUCUUUGGUGUUCUGCGUCAUCUCUGUCCCAGCAGAGUGAUGCCCUGGUACCCAGAGUUCCAAACACCAUUUGCAGGAGUUAUGCUCAGGUAUCGCGUAUAUUUUUCUGCCACCCAUCCAUAUUAUUUCGGUGAUAGACUUGUUUCUAUCCCGAAUCAUGCCAUUUACCUCGUCCCUCUAGCAACCCUUACUGAUCUUGGUUAUCGGAAAAGGGCAAUGCCAGCGAGCCUUGUUUUUCCACCGCUGCCCUACCCAGUCAUUCUAUUCUUUGGACGUGUACGAAUCCCUUUCGUACGCUUGAUGAUGAUGUGGUCAUGACUUUUGUGUCUCGCUACUUGAUCCUCAAGUCCGUCCUCACCUGUGUAUCCAUCCAGAUACAGCCACUGUUCAGCCAGUGCUUGGUGUAGCUUCGGUUACGCCAACUCCUUCCACACAUGGAUAUAAUUUUCAUGCACACCGCCACAGCAUAUCAGACCGUAAUACUGGAGUUUCCGCGCGAUUUUUGUGCUUAGGUGUGCAUGCAUAUUAUGGUGUGAGUAGCAGUAAUAUGUGAUGAUUGCUUGAUUAAUUAUAUUAGUAGUAUGCUUGUGUGCUUUUGUUUUAGUCGUUUCUUUUGUUUCUUUCUUUGGGCCUCCAGUGCUACAAAUUUUCCCCCUAUUAAAGUUGCUCGUCAGCCGACACCGGACCCAAAGAGUCAGCAAGAAAUGCAUAUAUUUGGAAACUCAGCUAAACAGAAUGGAAUUGUCAGCAGACUGCAGUGAAAUUGGAAAUAGCUCGUCUGAAUACAAAAGAAAUCUUGGAUGGAAUGUCAGUAUAAAGUUUGCAUUAACGUGCACUCCUCACAACAGUAUGAAAAUCUCAGCCGACUGCAUUCAGAUUGGGGGAUAUCUGAUCAUGUUACUGAGUGUCAAGUCUCCCUCAGUGUGCACUCGUCAUAGCAGAAAGGAUCAAAUCAGCAAGAAGAUAAAUUGUGUGCAAGGUUGACAGAAUAUUAUCAAAGGUAUGGCUCAGAUACAAGUUUAAUUUUUUCGUUGAGGAUGAUUUUGGAACCCGAUGUACCUGGAAGCAAGCAAAAAUAUGGCAUGUACUCAGAAAGGAGGAUAGUCCUGCAAAACCCCGUUUCAUACAAGAAAUCAAUAACAAAAAUAUUAAGAUGGUUAUAUAUGUGGAAAACGGUCUGCAUAUCACAAUAAGAAGCUUCUGGUGUAAGCAACCCAAUCUUCCCUCGCAAGAUACCCGAGAAGCUUCCAAGGCAAGAUUCAUCUAUCUUCCUCAGUACGAUACAUGGAUGAUUUCCCGUACAAGGUACUUUGCCUUCUUCAGUAAGCAACCGCAAAAGCUUCCGGCAUAAGGUACUGAGUCUUUCCCCAGCAAAGUCUUUAAGGGGGUAAGCUUCUGAAGCACGAUACCCAGUCUUUUUCAGUAAGCUGUCCGAUGAAAGUUUCGAGCACAAGCCAGCCAAUCUUCCUCAUUAAGACAUUGGUACAAGGUAGUACGUUGUGAAUUGACAGCAUAUGGCAGUGAAUCCCAAGAAUCAGAUCCGCAACAUUUUGAUCAUACGCAAGAAUCAGUCAGAAUACACGUCUGUCUCGGGAAUCGGAUUCUCAUAUAUAUGCGGUGAGCAUACCACCAAGAUCUUAUAAGUCACUCGGAUGAGGAUCUAACAACCAUGUGAGGAUGGUUAAGAGAAGAAAGCCAGUAUACACCGCAGUGUGACAAAGGAUUAUGAGGAUUGACGACAUCAAUGAGCUCAAUACAAGUACCUGUGAACCUGGAAAAUGAUCCUGAUGAGCCCUUGUCCCCUUUUUCUCCAAUGACGGCACCGCACCUGUGAUCUAAGCUGUUUUUAGCUAUCCGGGGUGGAUGCCAAUUUUUAUUUCUCUCUUCAACGACUGCCAUGAGUUCUGAGCUGCUUUUCGGCCGUCUCGUACAGCUGUGGAGUUUCUUUUUUUGACAGCAGCCCUAUAGCUGCUUUUUGGCUAUUUUAGGGAGUUGCCACAUUCUUCUUAUCAACCCGAUCUCAUGUUCUGAGAUGCUUUUCGGCCGUCCUGAGCCGUGGUUGAGUUAUUUCGGUAAUGUCCCAGAUCUGAGUUGUAAAGACCGUUCUGGUGGCUACUGAUUUAUUUGCCGAUUUCUUGCAAAGGUUCGGAUGAUCAUUUUCCUGCGGUCAGAAAAAUGAGGAUAAGCUACGAUUGCCGAAAAAUUGCACCGACAGUACCUAUGGUGAUACGAAGAAGCAAUAUGACCCAGCUCUUUCAGCCAAGGAUCCAGACCAAGAAAACAAUAAUGAAGGAGCAAGACCAGUGAUGCAGGUAUGAAAAUUGUUGCAAGACCCGCGUGGUGCAGAACCACCGUCAGUCAAGUCUGCAGAUAUUAUCAUACAGGUCAAACUCUUAUGCUAGCCACGAUAGGCGACAAUCAUAUAUUUGGUACGGAUCCGAUACUCAAGACAGUGGAACCAGUUAAGAUGAUUCAGAAACUUCCGUGAUAAGCCAGAAUCUGUCAGGAAAGCGGUUAUGACCCAACCCACUGUUUGGAACCCGAAGGACCUGCAUUUAGUGGAGAAACCCAAUGCAAGGACUUAGAGCUUGGGUGUCCACUAGAAAAAUCUGAUCAUCACUUCAUGAAAGAUUGUCAGUGCCGGAUGACACACCUAGCGGAAAUCACUCUUGGAUUUGUGAGACCGACAUAUAUUUCAGUCGUGAGAAUCAAUCACAGUCAGCUAAGUUAGCACAUCUGAAAAGAAAUUGGAGCCUGUAUAAGCAUGAACAAGCAAGGUAAGAUCUGUCAGAAUAUGGAUAUAUAAAAGCAAACCACCCCAGGACCAGUCAGAUAAAAAUUUAGUGGGAACAAAAAUAAGAAAAAGGAUACCCGAGUUGGAAACGGUUUCCUUAAGUCAGUAUCUUCAUACUUGUUCCCUGAGCAACCAAAUCUCGAAGACGAGAUUUCUUUAAGGGGGUAAGGUUUGUGACAGCCUGCUUUUUGGCCCUUUCUUUUUUCUUUUGUUUUUCUGAGGUUUUUGCUUGAGUUUUCUUUUUCCGUGGCUUUGUGGUCUGGAAACUGAAGAAGACGCCUUCUUCAUUGUUUCCAGACUGGCUUGUCAUUCCCAAAUCCUUCCCUAGACCCUGUCAUUUUCAUCCUAGCCCAAAUCCCAAUAUUCUUUUCCUUGGGAAUAUUCCUUUUCUAUUAAAGGAAUAACCCAAUUUGCCCUAGGUUGUGAAGCAACCUAUAUUUAUAUCACUCCUAAAAUUCCCAAAUAAUUCUCAUAAAUUAUUUGGGUCAUAUCUUCCUCAAAUAUGGCAAAAUAUUUAAUUUGCCAUGUUCCUCAUCGUGCUCAAUUAAUUCAUUUCCUAUUCUGUCCUGAAUAGCAGAAUGUGAAGCAAGUGCCAUUUAUCUUUGCCAAAUUGGCCUCCAACUUGUUGGACACCUUUUCAUGUCCAUAUAAUUGCUUCAUGCCAAAAUUCAACUUAAUUUUCCUAGUAAAUAUUCCUGAGCAAUUUUUCAAAGUUCCUGUCUGAGGGAAUUGGUUGUGAAGGAAAUACUAGCUAGGUUAAUCCUAUUGAGUUGAAAUUUUGCAUGGCCCUCCAUAUCACUAAAUCAUCACCCUCCUCAAGAUCUGAGCUCAUGGAAUGCAUGCAUGUGAGCUGAGCAUCAAUUCUUUGUUCUGUCCAAAUUUUCAGUUAGUGAAGCAAGUACAUUUUAUAUUGCUCCAUUAUUGCUGAAAAUUUUCCAGGGCCUUCUCCUACCUAUAUAACCUAUCUCUACAAAAUUUGGGCAUAUUUCAUUUAGCCAUAUUUCCUUAGGAUUUUUCCUAAGUUUAUGUCCACAGAGGAUAGCUAUGAAGGAAGUACCAUUUUGGCUUGGCCAAAUGGCAUGAAAUUUUUGUGGCACUCUCAUAUGACCAAAUAACCCUGCUAUGUUCAUUUUCAG